rnacentral:rRNA from 1 species
GUACACUCCUGCGGGAGGCAGCAGUGGGGAAUAUUGGACAAUGGGCGCAAGCCUGAUCCAGCCAUGCCGCGUGAGUGAUGAAGGCCCUAGGGUUGUAAAGCUCUUUCACCGGUGAAGAUAAUGACGGUAACCGGAGAAGAAGCCCCGGCUAACUUCGUGCCAGCAGCCGCGGUAAUACGAAGGGGGCUAGCGUUGUUCGGAUUUACUGGGCGUAAAGCGCACGUAGGCGGACUAUUAAGUCAGGGGUGAAAUCCCGGGGCUCAACCCCGGAACUGCCUUUGAUACUGGUAGUCUUGAGUUCGAGAGAGGUGAGUGGAAUUCCGAGUGUAGAGGUGAAAUUCGUAGAUAUUCGGAGGAACACCAGUGGCGAAGGCGGCUCACUGGCUCGAUACUGACGCUGAGGUGCGAAAGCGUGGGGAGCAAACAGGAUUAGAAACCCUAGUAGUCCCAUGA